ensembl:lncRNA
AAUUAAUUUAGUUAUUUAUUUAGUUAUUUAUUUAGUUAUUUAGUUAUGUAUUUAUUAAUUAAUGUAGUUAGUUAUUUAGUUAUUUAUUAAUUUAGUUAUUUAUUUAGUUAUUUAUUAAUUUAGUUAUUUAUUUAGUUAGUGUUCUGUGUUAUUUAUUUUUUCUCAUUUUGUGGGAUCUAAAUCAGAGUAAGCUGUGUGUGUGUGUCGCUGGCUUACACUAAUUAGCUCCAACUCUGAGGAAUAAUACUGGCCUACAGUCGUAUGGCUUCAACAAGACAUUACUGUAAAAUCAGAGGAAUAAUAUGGUCCUACAGUCGUAUGGCUUCAACAGGACAUUACUGUAAAAUCAGAGGAAUAAUAUUGGCCUACAGUCGUAUGGCUUCAACAGGACAUUACUGUAAAAUCAGAGGAAUAAUAUUGGCCUACAGUCGUAUGGCUUCAACAGGACAUUACUGUAAAAUCAGAGGAAUAAUAUUGAACUACAGUCGUAUGGCUUCAACAGGAUAUUACUGUAAAAUCAGAGGAAUUAAUAUGGGCCUACAGUCGUAUGGCUUCUACAGGACAUUACUGUAUAAAGUCUGAACGCCCUCCACAUCCCUUUACCCUGAGGUUAAUGCUGAUGGGUCAUAUGCAAUAAGUCGUAGUGUUGUUUAUAUAUAUAUAUAUGUAUAUGUAUAUAAUGCAAAUUAAUUACUUAAAAAUCAUACAAUGUGAUUUUCUGGAUUUUUGUUUUAGAUUCCGUCUCUCACAGUUGAAGUGUACCUAUGAUAAAAAUUACAGACCUCUACAUGCUUUGUAAGUGGGAAAACCUGCAAAAUCGGCAGUGUAUCAAAUACUUGUUCUCCCUACUGUAUGUAUAUAUAUAUAUACGGUACCAGUCAUAGUUGGACACACCUACUCAUUCAAGGGUUUUUCUUUAUUUUUACUGUUUUCUCUCUAUAUCUCUCUGGAACUCCUUCCAGACUGUUGGAAAAGCAUUCCAGGUGAAGCUGGUUGAGAGAAUGUCAAGAGUGUGCAACAGCUGUUAUCAAAGGCAAAGAAUGGGUAGCUACUUUGAAGAAUCUAAAAUAUAUUUUUUGAUUUGUUUAACACUUUUUUUUUUGUUGGUUACUACAUGAUUCCAUAUGUGUUAUUUCAUAGUUUUGACGUCUUCACUGUUAUUCUACAAUGUAGACAAUAGUAAAAAAUAAAAUAAAGACACUUUAAUGAGGAGGUGUGGCCAAACUGUUUAAUGAGGAGGUGUAGCCAAACUGUUUAAUGAGGAGGUGUGGCCAAACUGUUUAAUGAGGAGGUGUGGCCAAACUGUUUAAUGAGGAGGUGUGACCAAAUUGUUUAAUGAGGAGGUGUGGCCAAACGGUUUAAUGAGGAGGUGUGGCCAAACUGUCUAAUGAGGAGGUGUGGCCAAACUGUUUAAUGAGGAGGUGUGGCCAAACUGUUUAAUGUGGAGGUGUGGCCAAACUAUUUAAUGCGGAGGUGUGGCCAAACUGUUUAAUGAGGAGGUGUGGCCAAACUGUUUAAUGAUGGGGGUGUGGCCAAACUGUUGAAUGG